rnacentral:tRNA from 1 species
GCCUGGUUGGCUCCGUGGAUAGAGCAUGGGAAUAUUGAUCUCAGGGUCGUGAGUUUGAGUCCCAUGUUAGGCA